GCACGGAUGGCCGAGUUGUCUAAGCGUUAAACUUUUACUCUAAGUAUCAGUGGUUCGAGCCCACUUGAGGGUU
rnacentral:tRNA from 1 species